UUGGUUAAUUAUUUUAAUAUUUUUAUUUGCAAAAUAAAAGAUUUUUAAUUAAU
rnacentral:tRNA from 1 species